rnacentral:rRNA from 1 species
GCCUACGGGGGGCAGCAGUGAGGAAUAUUGGUCAAUGGGCGCAAGCCUGAACCAGCCAAGUCGCGUGAGGGAUGACGGUCCUAUGGAUUGUAAACCUCUUUUGUCGGGGAGCAAGGCCCGCCACGUGUAGCGGGAAGGAGAGUACCCGAAGAAAAAGCAUCGGCUAACUCCGUGCCAGCAGCCGCGGUAAUACGGAGGAUGCGAGCGUUAUCCGGAUUUAUUGGGUUUAAAGGGUGCGUAGGCGGAAGGUUAAGUCAGCGGUCAAAUGUCGGUGCUCAACACCGGCCGGCCGGUGCAACUGGUCU